CCUUAUGUACAGCGCCUUGAGUGUCUUGUUGCUGAAAAACGCUAGAUAAAUAAACUUGACUUGAAAUAAACUCUAAGCUUGAUCAUUUCUUAAGUUAUUUUUACUUCUGUCUUUAAGUCCAUACUUUUGUGAUUCUUUAAUACCUUUUAGUAGAAACUAAUUAAACUAAUUAGCUAAUCAUUACAGGGACACUGUGGGAGCUGGGGCGCUUAUCUGGUCAAUGAGAGGUACAGGUACAAAGAAAGAAAUGUGACAAAUAUCACAUGAAAACUCAUACCUGAGAGAAAUGUAGUAUCUGCAAGGAACCAAAUAUGCAUGUUUUUGGACUGUGGGAGAACCCUGAGAGAACCCAGAAAUGACCAGCGCCACCAUGCAAACACCCCACAGACAUGCUGUGGGAUUUAAAGCCAGCAAAACUAAACAUUGAUUUCAAAAAUCAAAAUGAUGCGCCCCCACUGUUCCAAGGUUCCAAAAGAGACCAGUACAAUAAAUGGUGAUAAAACCAAAUGUCAUUUGAAGAUACAGUAUGUGGUGGAAUAUAUGGGUUCAUCUGCAAAUGUUGAGCCUUUUUGUUAAUAAUAUGAAUUUCAAUAAUGGUUCCCAGCUCUGGUUCUUGUGGCACUUUGUCGUGCAUGUUUAAGAUGAAUGUUUUUUGGUCCAUGUACUACCGGUGGCCUUUGGACUGCCUUCAGUGGUAGUCAAAGUAAUUGCUGGUAUCAGCCAUUCACAAGUUCAAUUUGAUGUAAAUUAGCUAGAGCUAAAAGGCCCAAACAGCCAAAAAGAUUAGUUGCUCCAGUGCAUUAAUCUCUGCUUCAAACAGAUGCUACUCAGAGGGGACGUUCAGUGGGCAUUAUUUCAAGACAAUCCCAGAAAGCUAACUGAGAACAAGUACUGGUGUUCAGUAAUGCUGCAUUUAAAACACCUCUGAAGUUCGAAGUUCAAUUUAGGAAUAACAAAAUCCAACUGAGCUACAUGCUAAUUGUAAGUUAUAAAACUGGAAGGACUUACAGUUGUGCUCAAUGAGCAGGCUAACUACCGGCAGCAGUACAAGUUAAUGGCAAGCUAUGUAUUUGUAUUUUAUGGAUUCAAACACUAAAUGAACAUCUUCACAAAACGAGGUUGCAGGUGUUUGUAUUUGUGUAGAGAACAUUUACUUAAAAAAAUUCAGACAUACAUACAGUUUGUUGCUCUAGCUUUUGCUGUUUUAAACACACUGUAGCCAUAUGGGAUUUUCAGGUUGGAGUUGUUUGUCGAAAUUUUGAAAACCUUCUUGAAAUUCUGACCUCAGCUACACUUUUUGUGGCAAAAACAAAACAGAAAAAGUCCAACCCCUGCUAAAGUGCUGUUUAAAAAUGUCCUAACAGUAUGGUUGUCAUUGGAAAACUUAGAACGUAAUGAGGUGGUAGGUACUUGUUAGACUUACCUCAGGAACUGGUCAUCAAGUUCUGUAGAAGCUACAAAGGUCAACUUUAAAUCAGGUAAGCAGAAACUGAGUAACAUGUUAAAUUUGCAGGGCAGUGUUGCCCUUAUUGUGCAUGAUAGUUUACUUUAGGUAAAAUACAGACUGAACUAUCUCAACAACCAGGGGAAAUGCUGAUUUUCAUGAUGAUUUUCUUCUUGAAGGAAAGCACAGGACUGGAUAUGACAAUUGGCAAAUAUGGCCUGUUCCCAUUUAGAAGAACAAGAAACAGUCUACUAUGAAAACGUCAGUGGUUCAGAAGAAGAAUGCACAGGGAAGACCUUCAGACACUAGAGGAGAUAAUUCAAUCCUUUUCUCAACAAGGAGGAGUAUGUUGAGCAUUUUUGUAUGAGUGAACCGCCACCUCGAGGAUAUUAAUGUAACAGAACAUGGUAAACUCUUGUGUCAUCUUCUGUGUGUACCUCUGUGAUCCGUUACAUUUACCCAGAUCACCUGAAAGCAAUUUACAUUUGGGCGGUUGUCGUCUGGAAAGGGCAUAAAAUGAAAAGGCAUACAUUCUGCAUAAUAACCGAACCCCAUCUUCGGGUCAUAAUCAAAAAAGCAUAUGUUCCUGGUUUCUACAUCCAUAUAACAUCCAUAAUCAUCUGGUUUGUACAUCCAUACAUAUGAGACAUCCCAGGCUGAAUGAGGCUUUACAAGAGACAACACAAGCACCAGGAGCAGUUCAGUACAUAUUUACAGCAUGAACAUGCAUUGGGAUCUGUUCAACGAGCCGAAUGUGGCGGUGCAAAUGAAACCCAGAUGGGGAACAUAUCUUCGGCAAAUAUUUAGAUGGCUCUACACAAGCAAGUUGUUUUUAAACUUAGAGUUUACCCUUUUAUAAAAGAGUCAUCUCACGUCUGCAUGUUCAGUUCAUGCAUCUACAGCUAUAUUCCAUAUAUGAACAACUUUUAAUGUAUUUCAUUGGGAUUGUUUGUGAUUGACCAACACAAGAUAAUGCAUAAUUGUGAAGUGGAAGAAAAUGAAAUAUGGUUUUUGUUUUUUUUAAAUAAAUAAGCCUCUUCUCUCUUCUCCUACAUACUAUUCAGUGCAUCCUCAGACGUUUGUUAGGGAACUUUAGUGGACAAACUCCAUCAUGAAGAACGAGAAACACAGCAGACAGGUCAGGGACAAAGUUGUGGAGAAGUCUGCAUUCUGCUUUAUGUUUUUUAAUAAAACAGGGGAUGCUAUUAUGACGGAAAUAGCAUAAAAAAGUAUUUAAAACUGGUGACCGACUUUACAAUUCUGAUUAGAGCUGAAGCUGAUUAUAAGACUUAAGCUUUGAAAAUCAAUUUAUAUAAUUUUUAAAGCACUUUUUAUGGAGGGACCAUUAAGGGUUAAUGUACGCUUUGACCAUUUAACAGAGCUCUGUUCAAUCCAUCAUUCAAAAAAUGGAAGAAUGCAUCAAUUGCAAACAUGACUGCCUACCUAAACUGACUGUCCAGGCAAGGAGAGCAUUAAUCAAGAGAGGCAGCCAAGAAGUCCAUUGUACCUCUUGAGGAGGUUUAGAGAUCCACAGCUCAGGUGGAAGAAUCUUGUAAACUAGACACGUAUUAGAUGUGACGUCCACAAAUCUGGUCUUCUUAAUGAGUAUGAAUAAGAAGCAGUUGUUGAAAGAACACUGAAAAAAACAAACAAAUUUAUGGAAGAGCAUGUUCCAGUCAGAGGAGGCCAAAGAUUAACUUUUCAGACUUCACUUAAAAGGCCAUGUAUGGCAGAAAACUAAUACCGAAUGUUGCGGAAAUGUUUUUAUUCUGCACACAGGGAAGCUCUUUAGAGUUGAUGUAUGGAGCUUCAUAGAGAAAGAAAGCCUGUUAGAGGCUACCUGGGGUGGAGGUUCACCUUCCAGCAGGUCAGCGACCCUAAACAUUCAGCCAGAGCUACAAUAGAAUGGUUAAGAUCAAAGCAUAUUUGUGCACUAGAAUGGCCCAGUCAAAGUCUAGACCUAAGUCCAUUUAAAAAGCUGUGACUUGGCUUGAAAGCUGUCUGUUCACAAAUGUUCGCCAACUAAUCUGACUGAGUUUUAGCUGUAGGUGCAGCUAAAGGUGGUGCUAUAAUGUUUCCCCUCAGGAAGGCUGAAAACUAAGGAGUGCCACAUCUUGCAGAUGUGAAGUAUGUUUUCUAUUUCUCUCACUUCACAAUAAUAUGCCACAAAAUCCCAAGUCUGUGGUUGUAACAUGACAAAAUGUGCAAAAAGGUCAAAAGGUUUGAAUACUUCACAAAGCACAGAAUCACUUGUUUGCUCAGCAGGGGUUAAUUAAACACAAAGUCAUACACAUAUGCCCAUGGAUGCUAUAAAUUCUUCGAAGGGACAUAAACAAAGUAAAGCGGUUACACGCCCUCAGUACCACUGCCAAGCUGCCAGGCUUGUUAAUGUAAAACAACAUGACAGCUCUCCCUGUGAGGUUCACUAAACAAGUUUCACAAUAGCAAACUAAACCAGAGUGAUUCUAACUUUCCAGCGUUCCACACGGGGACUAAGAAGAAGGAAAACUGGGAGCCUAUAGGAGGAAUUUUGUACAGAUCUUCUGGAAUGAACUUUUUUAAUGUAGUCUGGGGUGCCUUUCCAAGUGAGUUGUGCCAGACAGGCCUCAAAUUGUUUGACAGUUAAUCAAAAUGUGUCAAGCCAUACUCAAACACCACAUUGAGAAGGAAGUCAGUUGCUACUGUAACACCACCUGUCUGACAGGCCACUGAGGACAGCCAACGGAUGAAAAACGGAGUGUUUGCUUCCGCAUUUUUGUGAAAUUCCUUCAGUGUGAGAUGAACCUGGGAACAGCGCUAACAUAAACCUCAAAACUCAUUUUGUUCUUUCUCGUUUUUAUUUUUUCCUACCACACACCAGAAUCCACAGUGGGUGAGAACUGAUUUAGGUUGCGUGGUUGCUUUUGGACUGAAUCAUAAAAAUGUCGUAAAGAAGGAAGAGGCAAAAAUCCUUCAAAUAACAUUCAUUUUAUAAGAGCAUCGUCUGUCAUGAUAUUCUUCUUCCCAGCAACAAUAUUUAACAAACACAAUCAGAUCAUACAUCUGUUUGACUGUGUGUCUCUUUGACUUACAUCUCAGAUGAAG